UACGUUAUGUCAACUGGAAAAUUAAAAAGUUUGGCUCGUAUUUAAGACGCGCUUAUAAUAAAGUUAGCGCGCGAUAAUAUUUGUAAUACAAAUAGGAAUAUUUUAAUUAUUUAUCUUUUAUAAGUCUUAAGACUUGGAGGCACGUGAGGAGGCUUAUAAAAGAUCGCUUGAUCCUAAAUCUGAGGAGGAACGGACAAAGGCUGAAGUAAAACGAUUGCAAGAGUGGUAUUAUAAGCAAAUAGAAGAAGAGAUGAUGUUUACACGAGAACUUUUUUUGGAAAAGCUUAAGAGCUCAUCAGAUGAUUCAACAUCUAAUGUGGGAGACUUUCGAAUCAAAAUUAGAUGGAAGGUACAAAAUGGUGAUUUGAUAAAUGGUGAAUAUAAUUAUGAUAAUUUACAUCAGUGCUUAAAUUUAGUUGCACAUUUGGGGCCGAUUUCGUUGUUGACGCCUACUUGUCCCCCCUUGCCGCGUAUCCCAUAGCAACAAAUCUCCCGAUGCUCUUAUAAACAACGCGCGUACCGGCUUACCUUAAGAGCGUCUGUACUUACGAUGGGAUCAGUAUCGUGAGGCUGGUAUGAAAUUACAUUAUCCAUCUAUUGUUAUACGCUAAUCUAAAAUAUUGUAUAUCGACAUAUGUAACAGGCGUGUUGCUGCAUCGUGGGCAACCCUUAGAAAAGUUUAUGAAUUAAUGUUAUGGCAAUUGCGAGGACGACGGCAAAGGCAGACAAAUGCCGGUACAUUAUGGUUCUAAAGAAUUGAAUUUUGUGACUAUUUCAUCUCCAUUAACAACGCAACUUCCACAAGAUGAUAUAACAAGAACCGCUGCAUCCCCAUACUGCAGAACAAUAAUUAAAAAAAUAUUUAACACA